rnacentral:tRNA from 1 species
AACCCGAUGGUGUAAUGGUAGCACAAGGGAUUUUGGUUCCCUUUGUAGAGGUUCGAAUCCUCUUCGGGUUG